rnacentral:lncRNA from 1 species
AUGAAACAUUACUCUGUACUAUAUCUAGCAAUAUACCUACCUCUUGACAUUUGUUCUUUUAGAGCUCAACCACUGAGGGGAGGAACUUCACCAUUCACCAUGUCUUCAGGCAGAGUCCAGCAGAGCAGAUGGUUUAGGGUUGUGCGCCGAAGUUUUUCGGAAAGCGGCACAGUUUGCCUGGCUAGAGAUUGUGGCCAACUGGAAGAAUUGUCCUCCUGUCUCCUGACCGGAACGAGUUCAGACGGAUGUACAGCAUCAGGGAACGCUUUAACCCACCAGGGUACAGGGAAGAGAACGGCGUGGUGAUCUUCUGGGCUGUUGUUUACACAGGAUUUUCUUCCAAGGACUGAAACACAUUUGUGUGUUAAGUUCAUUGAAGGGAAAUAGAGAAUCAACUGAGAUCAACUGGUUUUGAUGUAUUAAUUGAUGUCAUUUAAAGUUAAACUUUGCAGUGUAUAAUGUUUUAAUAACAAAUCUAUGGCAAACACGUGCAUGACAACAGGUUUCAGUCAUUUAGAGUCUAUCGUUCUUUAAGGUUUCUCAUAUUUGAUGGUAACAUCAUUUGCUAUGCAUUGCUCAUAAUGAAUUCUUAAUUUAGUUGUGACAAUUCGGUGUAAUAUUUCAAUUACCAAUGAUUUUAUAAAGUGUUUAAAGGGGUGGUUAAAUGUAUUAUGUUUUUAUAUAGAAGCGAGUAACUAAAUAAAUUCAGGAUUAAUGAGGUUUUCAGUAGUGCAGUUCAGAAAACAAAUGUUUUGUCAGCUACAAUGCACACUUUAUACAUUUUUAAUAUAUAUUAAAAUAAAAUGGGUAAUUGUCUUAAGGGAACCUGAAAAAAAAAAAAAAAAAAAACUUUCACAGGAAUGUGCCUGAAAGUGAUAAACGGGCCUUAUUUUUACCUAAAUUAUUUAUUCUUUAUUUUAAUAUAUAUACAAAAUGUAUAAGGUGUGCAUUGUAGCUGACACCUAAAUUAACACAUUACAAUAGUUUUAUGACUGCAAGUCUUUCUCCUCAAAUGCUACUGACGUUAGAAAAGUGUACACCAAUAUCGCAUGUAACUUUAGAGACGGUCCCUAAAUUUGAGACUCGUCCAACGUCAAGCCAAAUUUAUGCCCGUUUUUUUUUGUUUUUUUUACUUUUAGUUUUCCUUUCUCUUCGCUGGAUUGCUGAUGUACUCUACCCGGGCAUAGAUGUUCAUCCAUCAAUUAUGAACAUUCAGCCGCAAACAUGAGGUGCGAGCGGUCGCGACCGCGGAUGGGAGAAUGGAGGAAGUUUCUUUCUUUUUUUUUUUUUUGGAGCAACUGGGGUGCCCCCUCCGGGAGUUGGUGCCCUACGCAGACUUCGUUACUCUGCGUUUAGGGAGCGACGGCACUGAACACCUUUAAUAUCGAGAUUUGAUUAAUGUUCUACUUUUGAUUUAUUCAUUCAAAUAUUGCCGAAUUCCGUGACGUUCUGCUUUAUAAGCAAGUUCCAUUUCCGCGAUUCAAUCCCUGUCUCUUUUCAAACACAAACGCGGUGAAUUUAUGAAUGAAAGUGUGAAAGUUAGUUCUGACACAAAACGAAGUUGUUACUUAUCCUCACGCUUUUUAAAAGUGAUAAUUUAUUGAUAGAUAAUCAAUUAUUACCCAGCUUUUCCUCCUGAGUCUCAGGCCGGUGACACACUGCGUGUCGUGAGCGUGACGCUUCUGCUGCGUGGCGGCUGCUUCGCGUUUUCUGUGUUUAUAUACAGUCUAUGGUCUUUACACACCAGAAUCACUGCUGCUGCUGUAGGGGACAUAGAGGGAGACCACCGACAGACCAGGGGCUUGUCUUCAUGACAACAGUAUCUAUACUUCAUGUUGAGCAUAAAUAUAAAGCCUCCUGAUAAAGGACACCGUCAACAGUAUUGAUGGCAAAAUAGACUAUGUUUGACAGGUGUUAUACUUGAAAAUCGAAAAGUAUUAAUUUCUUUUUACAGUUCGGGAGUUCGUAGCGGGAUCGCGAAUCAUUUGAGUCAGUUAGAGAUGGUAUCAGGUUCGCGAAUCAAUUGAAUCAGUUCGGGAGUUCGGAGAGGGUUCGCGAAUCAUUUGAGUCCGUUCGGGGAUCGCAUCAUUUGAAUCAGUUCGGGGGUUCGGAGCGGGAUCACGAAAGAUUCGCGCUCGUAAAUUUUCAAAUUGGCCAUAACCUUUAAUUUGUUGCUGCCAACUGGGGUAGAUCCGCCCCUGUCUCUCAGUAAAUAUAUUUGUAAAGGUGCUGUUGACUUGAAAUAUUCACCAGAUGUCAGUAACACUCCAGUGAUCCAUACAUACAAAGAAAAAAAUAUCAAUAACUUCAGAAAAAAUAUUUCACCCUCCGGGAAUACGGUUUUCCUUGCAGAAGUAUAUUUUCUGGAGAAACAUUGAAUAAUUAAUCAGAUUCACCUGUCAUGUCGUGUAUGAGAGUACACACACACACUCAUAUGCUUUCACACACACUCAUACACACACCCACACACUCCUUCCUGUGUGUGUCUUCAGCUACUGGAACACUCGACCCUGUGGAUGAGAUCUUAAACAUGAGCCUGAGCAUCACAUGAGCGAGCAGAAACCAGAUCAGCGUGACAAACCAGACGUACGUGGAGCGUGUUACGUGGAGCGUGUUACGUGGAGAUGAUUUUGAGUUAGUUUUAUUCUUAGUGUUUGGACUAAAAUGCCAUUUAGUUUCAUCUGAAUAUGUUUUAGUCUAGUUUAAGUCGAUUUAGUCGACUGACGUCUUAUAUUUAGUCGACUGAUACUAAAACAAAUUCAGAUGACUAAAAUCUAACGGGUUUAGUAACCGUGUAAUGCAUUUAUUCAACAUUUCUCUAAAAUGUCCAAACUCAUGAUAUGUUCCCAUCUAUUAACGUAGUAAUAUGAUUGAUAUGAAGGUUUGACCGUGCAAUAUAAACACAGAUUUAACUGUUUGUAGAGUAAUUAACAACAGCAUCGAACAGAGCUCAGCCAAUCAGAAUCAAGGACCAGAACGGUCUGUUUUGUGAAGUGUGUUUCAGGUGUGUGAAACACAUCGUUGUUUUUGUGCAAUCAUGUUCCUAAUCAGGGGUGGUUCUAGGGUGAGUGAAGAUCCGGGGCUUAGCCCAUAGAAAAGUCCAUGUAUGUGACUUUUUAUUUUAAUAAAUCAGAAAGAUUUACCUUAUUUAAAAUAUACAAAAACAAUAAAAACAAAAACAAAUUUAAAACAUUUUAUUUAAAGUAUUGAGGAAAAUACAUUUGCUUUUUGCAAACAAAAAUUAAGAAUUGCAAAACAAAUGAAACAGCGCGAAAGCAAUGAUUUUGCAAUACAUAUUUUCCAUGGUAAUAUCUAUUAAUUUAUUUGCAACGCUGCUUUUAUUUUGCAUGUCAGUUUGAGCUUGCGAAGCCAUUUUUCCUUUGCGCUUCACUUUUCUGCACGUCACUCUUUGUGGCACCGUUUUUGACGUGGGGGCGGAGUCAAUGGACGGGGGCGUGUACAACAUGCCUCCAUGGAAGUGACGUCAUCGGCCCGAGACGCAGCUCACUGAUCCAGGUCCUGUCAUGAUGAGCAGAGACUUUCGACUGGAUCGUUUAUUUUUAUUCAGUAGCAUUAAAACAUUCAUUUUUUGUUUUAUUUACUUUAUUAACAUGUAUGUGUAUUAGCAGAGUUUGCUCAAGUUAAAGAAGUUGUUAACAUGAACAUCUGCUGUUUAUUUCUCUCGAUGUGCACACUUUUAUAGCAUUAUGUGUAUUGGGAUCGCAAAUCAUUUGAGUCAGUUCAGGAGUUCGUAGCGGGUUCGCGAAUCAUUUGAGUCAGUUCGGGAGUUCUUAGCGGGAUCGCGAUUCAUUUGAAUAAGUUCGGGAGUUCGUACCGGGAUCGCGAAUCAUUUGAGUCAAUUUGGGGAUCGCGAAUCAUUAGAAUAAGUUCGGGAGUUCGUAGUGGGAUCGCGAAUCAUUUGAGUCAGUUUGAGGAUCGCGAAUCAUUUGAAUCAGUUCGGGAGUUCAUAGCGGGAUCGCGAAUCAUUUGAGUCAGUUUGAGGAUCGCGAAUCAUUUGAAUCAGUUUGGGAGUUCAUAGCGGGAUCACGAAUCAUUUGAGUCAGUUCGGGUUCGCAAAUCAUAGCUGUAUAUGGAUAGGCAUUUGUAUCUAAUUUAGUAGCUAGUUAUAAUUACAUUUUCCACGCUUGUUUAGGUGUGAAAUGUGAACUCGUAUUUUUUGUUUUAAUGAUGUGCCUUUUAACAGUAUCAAGUAUAUUCAAAAACUAAACAAAUCGUGCCUAAAAAGUGCAGGCAUCUAGGCUAAUGUAAAGUUUCAUGAUGAAGUCAUAAUAGUGCGCGUGUGCAUUUUGAGUGUGUUCUUUCACUGCAUUAUUCGGUGUAUUCAAAUGAAUUUAUGAAUGCAUGUGAAUGAUCACAAAAUUCAAGAUAUGAACCCUUUGUGCCAAAAGGGUUCUUUCUUGUCAUUAUAGAACCUUUUUAGCAUAAAAGGUUCUUUGGAGUUGAGUAAAGAACCCUAUGGUUCUAUAUAGAACCCCAAUGAUCCCUUUCUUCUAACAGUUUGUUGUCAUAAGCAGGGUUGGUUCUAGGGUGAGUGGAGAUCCAUGUAUGUGACUUUUUUAUUUUAAUAAAUCAGAAAGAUUUACCUAGUUUAAAAUAUACAAAAACAAUAAAAACAAAUUUAAAACAUUUUAUUUAAAGUUUAUCCCUUUUAUCCUGACACAUAUGCUGAUGUUGUGUCUCUAUCUCACUUUUUUUUUUUGUCUCUGUUUUAUUUUAUUUUCCAAUCAAGCCUGACUGGCUACACUCGUCCUGGUAGAACAGGGAUCAGAAGCAAACAUGAAGCAGUGUACUGACACACUCUUACUCUAUAAAGAUACACCGGUCAAAGGACUUUAUCUCUGUGUUUAAAGCCAAGUAUAAUUAUAAACGCAGGGCUCUAUACACUUAUAUUUUUGAAGGAGCACUUACACAGCACUUACAAAUUGCAUAAAUAAUCAUAAGAAGGUUAAUGUAUCAAAUAUACAAUUUGGAAUAGGCUACAGAAAUAUGAAAUUAUGAAAAAAAAUUAGAAUGGUACUUUGCCACUAGGUGGCGGUAUGCCACUGCCUUAAUGAGUGAGUCGGUCAGUCAUUUAAUCAAUGGAUUCGUUAGAAACGGAUGAUUCAUUCAGAAAAAAAAGUGUGUGUGUGUGUGUCCCCUACAGACUGUGCUGCGCAACCGUUAACUGUUCCAUGUUCAAA